GCACUGCUGAGGAGUCCCAUAAUAGAAUGAAACAGUUGUCCAGUGC
rfam:Schistosoma rodhaini strain Burundi genome assembly, scaffold: SROB_scaffold0001764